UUUACUACGGAAUAACGCAGGGAAACUUGUGCUAAUACCGUAUGUGCCCUUUGGGGGAAAGAUUUAUCGGUAAAGGAUCGGCCCGCGUUGGAUUAGCUAGUUGGUGGGGUAAAGGCCUACCAAGGCGACGAUCCAUAGCUGGUCUGAGAGGAUGAUCAGCCACAUUGGGACUGAGACACGGCCCAAACUCCUACGGGAGGCAGCAGUGGGGAAUAUUGGACAAUGGGCGCAAGCCUGAUCCAGCCAUGCCGCGUGAGUGAUGAAGGCCCUAGGGUUGUAAAGCUCUUUCACCGGAGAAGAUAAUGACGGUAUCCGGAGAAGAAGCCCCGGCUAACUUCGUGCCAGCAGCCGCGGUAAUACGAAGGGGGCUAGCGUUGUUCGGAAUUACUGGGCGUAAAGCGCACGUAGGCGGAUCGAUCAGUCAGGGGUGAAAUCCCAGGGCUCAACCCUGGAACUGCCUUUGAUACUGUCGAUCUGGAGUAUGGAAGAGGUGAGUGGAAUUCCGAGUGUAGAGGUGAAAUUCGUAGAUAUUCGGAGGAACACCAGUGGCGAAGGCGGCUCACUGGUCCAUUACUGACGCUGAGGU
rnacentral:rRNA from 1 species